rnacentral:tmRNA from 1 species
UCGAGCUUGAAUUGCGUUUCGUAGGUUACGUCUACGUUAAAACGUUACAGUUAAAUAUAACUGCUAAAAACGAAAACAACUCUUACGCUUUAGCUGCCUAAAAACAGUUAGCGUAGAUCCUCUCGGCAUCGCCCAUGUGCUCGAGUAAGGGUCUCAAAUUUAGUGGGAUACGUUAAACUUUUCCGUCUGUAAAGUUUAAAAGAGAUCAUCAGACUAGCAAUACAGAAUGCCUGUCACUCGGCAAGCUGUAAAGCGAAACCUCAAAUGAGUUGACUAUGAACGUAGAUUUUUAAGUGUCGAUGUGUUUGGACGCGGGUUCGACUCCCGCCGUCUCCAUUG